GCCAGCAACAAGCUAGACAAAACGACUGGGCUAGUUGGCUCUAGCCAGCCUUCGUCAUCGGCCACCUCAAAACUGGCACAGUGGGUGAUGGAAUGGAGUGGCGGAGGAUCUUCAUGGGCCCAUCUGCCUGGACUCCCACUGACCAUGGCCGGCCUCAUCGUGGCCACCUCUGAAUGUCCAACCCGCGUCAACAGAGCUCAGCACUAAGUGUAGGGACGGACCCUCUUCCUUGAGGAGACCAACAGGACGCAGUGGCAAGAUGACACCAAGCACAGCUAAUAAAGUUUGGUUUCCCCACCA